rnacentral:rRNA from 1 species
AACGAACGCUGGCGGCAGGCUUAACACAUGCAAGUCGAACGCCCCGCAAGGGGAGUGGCAGACGGGUGAGUAACGCGUGGGAACAUACCCUUUUCUACGGAAUAGCUCUGGGAAACUGGAAUUAAUACCGUAUACGCCCUACGGGGGAAAGAUUUAUCGGGGAAGGAUUGGCCCGCGUUGGAUUAGCUAGUUGGUGGGGUAAAGGCCUACCAAGGCGACGAUCCAUAGCUGGUCUGAGAGGAUGAUCAGCCACAUUGGGACUGAGACACGGCCCAAACUCCUACGGGAGGCAGCAGUGGGGAAUAUUGGACAAUGGGCGCAAGCCUGAUCCAGCCAUGCCGCGUGAGUGAUGAAGGCCUUAGGGUUGUAAGCUCUUUCACCGAUGAAGAUAAUGACGGUAGUCGGAGAAGAAGCCCCGGCUAACUUCGUG